GAAAUCCUAAAAUACCAAACAAUAAAAAACGGUGGGUAAACAAGUUGUCAGCCUCCUUUCCUCAAUUCAUAUCUUCACCAACAAUUGAGAAAUGAGUGGAUCUACCCAUUUCUAGUGAAGUUAUUUCUUGAACUCUUGCUCUGAUCCUUCCAUUUUGUAACUCUGAGUUUUAAUUACACUUCAAUCUUACAUCUUCUGUUAUGGAAUAAUUUCAACGGUCUUUUUCAUUUUCAUAUUUUCGUUAUUGCUGUUAUUUUUUUAGUUUUGAACGGUGUGUUUUAUAGCGUUAGUUUAAGCGGUUCAUUUUGCUAAGAUGAUGUGUUUUAGUCCAUUGUUACUAUUGGUGUUAGGUCAUUAUUGGGUUUCUAAUUAUACCUGUAACUAAGUCUAAGGGGAGGUUAUGAAAAUUAGAAUCAGUAUUUUCAAUAUUCUCUUUCCGCUUCUCUCUCUCGAUUUCUUCUCUUCUUCUUCUCUCUGUUCUUUCUAUUGCUUCAGAUCUAUUUCGUGACAAAGGUAUCAGAGCGUUGUCAAUUCUCAUGGCCGUAGAAGGGGUGACUACAAGGAUGCAAAAUGAAUUAGGAAUGAUAUAAGGCGAGCUUACUCAACUGCAAGUUGAAUUCACUCAGUUAGAUGCACGCUUCAAGAACUUUCAAGAAGGAAUUAAGUCGGAAGUUCGUUCGGAGGUACAAUCUGAACUUCAUUCUGAGCCCCAUUCUUUAUUUGAACAGUAUUUUGGACAAAGUCCUCCUAUUGCAGUUACUAGUGUGAUGACUGGUAAAGGGAAAGGUAUUUUAGGCUCUCUUUCUGGUUUUCCAGCAAAGGAACACCUAGUAGUGUCGCCUAUACUAGAUCUAGGUCAUUCGAGUAUGUCUUCGCAAGGAGGUACAAUGGAAGUAGGGAAUCAUUCUUUUUGAGUAGAUUGUCCACACUUUGAUGGUGGUAAUUUUAGAGGGUGGUGGUCUAAAUUAGAACAAUAUUUUGAAACUGAAGGGAUAGGUGAACAUGCUCAGGUUAGUGUGGUUAUGUUGCAUCUAGAAGGGAAGGCACUAGACUGACAUCACUUCUUUGUGCAUAGACAUGGAGGGUUGCACCAACUGACUUGGAAGAUGUAUGUUAGGGGACUUAGGGAACGUUUUGGAUUCUGACUUCUUCUUUGAUCCUAUGACUAAGUUAGUAACUCUCAAGCAACAUGGAUCUUUUAACUAGUUCCAUAAUGGAUUUUUGAGUUUGUUGAAUCUGCUGAAUCUGCCUAAAACCCAUGCAUUAAGCAUAUUUAUCAUCAAUUUGAAACCUAAAAUAGGUCAGUAUCUUAGGUUGUUUAAGCCUCAAACGUAGGUGGAGGGUUACAAUUUAGCUAGGCAGGUUGAGAAUAUUGUGCUAGGACCGGUGAAAAAGGGGUUCGCUGCUAGUAAUGGAGUUAGUUCAUCGAGACAUUUAUUUCCUAUUUUUAAAGUGCAGCAGGGAAUGAAAAGCUCGGCCUUAGCGGAGGGUCAGUGGGUGGUAACUCAGGACAAAGGAUUCCUUCCAAGUCUUUGUCUCAAGCAUAGUUGGAGGAUAGAAAGAAGAAGGGCCUUUGUUUUUUGUACGACUUGAAGUACUCACUAGGUCACAAAUGUUCGAAGUCUCAACUAUACCAACUUAUUAUUGAGCCACUAUGGGAAAAAGGUUCUGACAUGAAGAGUCCACCUUCUGAAAAUUUUCAAGAUUAUUUUGAACAUUUAGACUUAGCAUAUCAGAUUCCAGAAAGUCCUACUCCUGUGUUAUCAUCACAUGCUCUUCAAGGGUUGUAGAGACAUAACACUAUGAGAUUUCCAGUUGUUAUUGGUCACACUGAAGUGGUGGUCUUAACGGACUCUGGUAGCACAUACAAUGUAUAGAUUUUAAGGUGGCUAAAAGGUUGAAUUUGGCAGUAGAAUCGGGAAGUACCUUGCGGGUGAUGGUAGCAAAUGGGGUUCGAUUGUUUACUCAAUGAUUGUGCAGAGCAGUUUCAUAGAAAGCACAAGGUUAUAAUUUUACCACUGAUUUCUUAAUUCUAUCAGUGAAUGGGUUUAACUUGGUGCUUGGCAUUCACUGGUUGUUAUCUAUGGGUCCGAUUGUAUAGAAUUUCUCCAAUUUAACUAUGCAAUUUAAUCUUAUGGGGCAUAUUUGCAUCUUGCAAGGCAUAGUACCAGGUUCACUACAUAUUGUCCCCAGUAGUCAACUUUUCAAAUGCCUAAGUUUGGUAGGUAAUGGCCCAUGCCCUAUGCUAUUGGCUUCCUGUGAUCAAACUGCUCUUACAGUGCAUCCAGUUUAGUUGCCACCCAAUUUGCAAGGUCUUCUUGAUGAAUUUGAGGAUAUAUUCCAGACUCUCAUAGGUCUACCUCCUCAUCGAUUACAAGACUAUAGGAUUCCUUUGAUAGAUGAGUCUAAGGUUGUUAAUGUGAGGCCUUAUAGAUAUCUUACAGUCCAAAAAACUAAAAUAGAAAAAUUGAUACAGGAAAUAUUGCAAACUGGAAUAAUUAGGGACAACAAUAGCCUAUUUGCAUCUCCUGUGGUGAUGGUCAAGAAGAAAGAUGACAGUUGGAGGUUGUGUAUAGAUUACAGGCAGCUUAACCAACUGACCAUUAAAGACAGAUUCCCUAUCCUUAUUACUGAAGAGCUCUUGGAUGAGUUGGGGCAAGCAAAUUUUUUCUUCAAAUUGGAUUUGCGUUCAGGCUAUCAUCAAAUUCAAAUAUGGGAGCAGGAUGUGUACAAAACAGCUUUCAAAACUCAUGUUGGCCAUUAUGAAUUCUUGGUCAUGCCAUUUGGCUUGACCAAUGCCCUUUUUAGUUUCCAAUCACUGAUGAAUUCAGUCUUUCGAUCUUUCUUACAGAGAUCAGUUCUUGUUUUUUUAUGAUAUACCAGUGUACUCCCAGAAAUGGGCUGACUAUUUGAUUUACUUGCAAGAGGUGUUCCAAGUGUUGAGAUCUAAUCAACUUCAUGCUGAGUGGUCUAAGUGCAUUUUUGGAGCUACUCAGGUGGAAUAUGUUGAACAUGUUAUCUCUCAAGGAGUUGUUAGUAUGGAUCAAACCAAAGUGGCUGGUGUUCUGGACUAGUCUCCUCCAAAGUCUAUUAAGGAGUUGCGAUACUUCCUUGGAUUGUCCGGAUAUUACAAAUGGUUCAUCAAGGGGUAUGGAUUAUUGGCUAAGCCCCUCACUACAUUAUUAAAAAAAUGUUCCUUAGUAGUGGACAGUGUUGGAGCAGACUGCUUUCGAUCAGCUCAAAGCAGCUGUUUGUCAAGCUCCAGUUCUUGCUUUACCAAAUUUUUAGGAGCCUUUUUGUGUGGAGACGGAUGCUAGUGGUCAAAGGGUCGGGGCUGUUUUAUAGUAGAAGGAAAGACCAGUGGCAUACUUCAGCAAGGCGUUGGGAGUCAAAUAUCAAGCUUUGUCUAUCUAUGACAAAGAGAUGCUUGCAGUACUGUUGGCAGUUAAGAAAUGGCAUUCCUAUCUUGUUGGCAGGCAUUUCUUCAUUAAAAUAGAUCACCAAAGCUUAAAAUUCCUCUCCGAACAGCAGACAAUUACACCUUACCAGCAGAAGUGGGUUGCUAAGAUGUUGGGAUACGAUUAUUUGAUCUUAUAUCGCAAAAAAGCUCAGAAUAUAGUGGCCGACGCUCUAUCUAAGAAACCUCAUGAUCACACUCAUCAACUAGUCUAAUCUGAGAGCAGUUUUGACUCUUCUUGCUUUACGGUAUGGGAACACAUUAUUGCUUCAUAUGUGAUAGAUAAGAAGCUAUAUCAGUUGUGUCAAGAUGUUCAAACGCAGCCCCAGUUGCAUCCAAAGUACUAGUGGCAUGGUACAUUCCUUCGAAGAUUAGGCAAAAUUGUAGUGGGAAAUGAUAUCCAACUUCGAAGGCAUAUGUUUAGCCUUUUCCAUGACAGUGCUUUGGAAGGUCAUUCUGGCAUCCAUGCCACUUGUCACAAGAUAUUUGUUUUGCUCUAUUGAAAGGGUCUCUUUAAAGAUGUUAAGUGUUGGGUACGGGAGUGUGUUGUUUGCCAGCGUUGCAAAGCUGAUAAUUCUGCUUCACCUGGGCUUUUGCAACCCUUACCUAUACCCGAUCGUGCUUGGAAAGCCAUCAGCGUGGAUUUUAUUGAGAGUCUACCCUUAUCAUAGGGUAAAUCAACCAUUCUUGUAGUGAUUGUCUGUUUGACCAAGUAUGGCCACUUUAUUGCCUUGGCUCAUCCUUUUUCUGCCUUCACCGUAGCUCAAGAGUAUCUUAACCACAUUUAUAAGUUGCAUGGGAUACCUGAGUCGAUUGUGUCUGAUAGAGAUAGAAUUUUUUUAAGUAACUUUUGGCAGAAACUGUUUCGACAUUUGGGCGCCAAACUGAAGAUGUCUACUACCUACCACCCUAAAACUGAUGGCCAGACAGAAAUUCUUAACAAAUGUUUAGAAAGUUAUUUGAUAUGCAUUACUGGUGAAAAGCCUUCUGCUUGGGCGUCUUGGUUACCCUUGGCGGAGUGGUGGUACAAUACCACCUACCAUUUGGCUAUUCAGACCACUCCCUAUGAAGCUCUAUAUGGGCAAAUCCACCUCUUCAUUUACCUUAUGUGGCGGGUGCUUCUCCAGUGGUUACAAUAGAUCACACAUUGUAACAUAGAGAGGUUAUGCACAAGGUUUUAAAAUUUUAUCUCACUCGGGCUUAGGAUCGGAUGAAAUAGAUGGCAGACAAAUAGAGGUCAGUGCAUUAGAAGUUGUCACCUCGAUAUUUUAGCCAUUUUUUCAGUAGAGGCUCGUGUGGGACAGGUUGCUUACAAACUGUUAUUACCAUAUUCUGCUCGUAUUCAUUCAACUUUUCAUGUCUCCCAAUUGAAGAAGCAUAUUGGGUCCUCGGUUAGUGCUUUUACCUAACCACCAGUGGGGUCUGAUGGAGCUCUUCUCAAGACACCGAUUCGAGUAUUGAACAGGCGCCUAAUCAAGCAAGGUAACCAUGCUACUGUGGAGGUUCUCGUGGAGUGGGCAGACACCUUUCUUGAGGAUUCCACUUGGGAGAAUUUGCAUAAUCUUUAACGUCGCUUUCCUGCGUUUGAUCCUUGAGGACAAUGAUCAUGUUCAGGGGAGGGCAUUUGUUAUGAAAUAGUUUCAACGAUCUUUUUCAUUUUCAUAUUUUCGUUAUUGCUAUUAUUUCUUUAGUUUUAAACGCUGCAUUUUACUUCUGUCUUAUUCUAGUAUACGAUGUGUUUAUAGCGUUAGUUUAAGCGGUUCAUUUUGAUAAAACGAUAUGUUUUAAUCCACUGUUAUUGUUUGUGUUAGGCUGUUAUGGGGUUUCUUUAUGUACCUGUAACUAAGUUUAAGGGGAGGUUAUGAAAAUUAGAAUCAGUAUUUUUAGUAUUCUCUUUCCGCUUCUCUCUCUUGAUUUCUUCUUUUCUUCUUCUCUCUGUUCUUUCUAUUGCUUCAGAUCUAUUUUGUGACAUCUUCAUCAUUUUACUCAGAAAAAUUUAAAACUUCUUCUCUACCCAUACUCCUAUCCAGAUCUGUUACUCUUGCGACUUUUUUUGGUGCUACAUCAGGGAGUCGAAAUGUUUUCCUACUUGAGCCAUUUCGUGUAUUGCUCAAUUCGGAAUUUG
rnacentral:lncRNA from 1 species